rnacentral:rRNA from 1 species
AGAGUUUCGAGUCCUGGCGUCAGGAUGAACGCUGGCGGCGUGCCUAAUACAUGCAAGUCGAGCGAACCACUUCGUGGGAAGCGGCGAACGGGUGAGUAACACGUAGGUGAUCUGCCCAUCAGACGGGACAACGAUUGGAAACGAUCGCUAAUACCGGAUAGGACGAAGUUUAAAGAUGCUCCUGGCAUCACUGAUGGAUGAGCCUGCGGCGCAUUAGCUAGUUGGUGGGGUAAAGGCCUACCAAGGCGACGAUGCGUAGCCGACCUGAGAGGGUGAACGGCCACACUGGGACUGAGACACGGCCCAGACUCCUACGGGAGGCAGCAGUAGGGAAUCUUCGGCAAUGGGCGAAAGCCUGACCGAGCAACGCCGCGUGAAUGAAGAAGGCCUUCGGGUUGUAAAAUUCUGUUAUAAGGGAAGAAAGGUGAUAGGAGGAAAUGACUAUCAAUUGACGGUACCUUAUGAGAAAGCCACGGCUAACUAUGUG